rnacentral:rRNA from 1 species
AACGAACGCUGGCGGCAGGCCUAAAACAUGCAAGUCGAACGAACCUUCGGGUUAGUGGCGCACGGGUGAGUAACGCGUGGGAAUGUGCCUCUGGGUGCGGAACAACGUCGGGAAACUGACGCUAAUACCGCAUAAUAUCUUCGGAUCAAAGAUUUAUCGCCCAGAGAUCAGCCCGCGUUAGAUUAGGUAGUUGGUGGGGU